UGUUUGUUUGGAGCCCUGUGAUCGACUCCAGGCCUCUGAUAAAAGGCCAAGUAUCUGCUGCUGCAUUCUCCUCUUUCUUUCUCUUCAGCCUUUUCCUCUUCACCAGACUCUUCAGCCUUUUCUUCUACAUCGGACUUUCCCCAUGAUCUGGGCAGUACCAGCCUUCAGACCUCCUGUGCCCAGAGAUGUAUGUCUUUGUGCCCAUAGAGAGCUGCAUCCCAAGCCUGGAGCAGAUCCACUAUGCCCGCUUCAACCAGGAACCUGACGCAGGUGAUACACAAGUACUGAAGGACCUGGGUCGUUCUCUGGUGCUGUACGGACAGUCUUGCCCUAUGCCCAAAAACAGAAGGGCUCCAAUGACGAGAGGUAGAGCAGUACGCCGGCCUGAUGGGCCAGGUAUGCGCUGCGAGGAUCCUGCUAUACCGGGCGUAACCCACCGGGGGCGCCACCGCCACCCUGCACCGUGAUCCACUCUGCACCAAAAUACACCUACCAGCAAUGUGUCUGUCUAGGGUCAUAUUCAUUAGGCACCAAACGGAAGAAAAUGGAGUGAAACAGAAAGGGACUUGUCAAAUAGGAAGCGCUCGUUUUCAUUUUCCAUUGCAAAAGGUUUUGGCGAUGGACUGCCCUUAUGAAUACGACUCAUGUGUCUCUGUCUGUCCCGCUGUCUUUGUAAGUAUUUUCCGUUGCUUCACUCUACAAUAGCCUCACAAAGCUUAGCUCUACAACACAUAGGCCGAACCAGCGCACUCAAGUAUAUUGCACUCACCUGCUGGCCUGGUCGAUGCUAUUAUAUCUGAAUCAUGUUUGAUAAUGUCAGUUUUAGCCAUAAUACGAAAGGUUUCAGUUUAACAACAUUUGUUCUUUAUUUAAUUGUGAAGUAUCAAUACCAUUGAUUAAGACUCGGAAGUCUUGAUUACAGGGAAGAUUAAUUUCAGUGUAAUUUUGAUUUCAUGAUGUUUGACUUUCACUCUUUUCACACUGAAAGCAGCAGUAGCCAUCACCUUAUGUUACAGCAGGGCUUCCCAACCCAACACGACAUGGUUGUCCUCAGUACUGAUUUUGGAUAAGAUAGGGAGGAUAUGUACUGAUCUAGAAUCAGUGAAGUUAAGGUGAAUCUGAAAGCUGCUGCUUCACUCCUAUGUGGAUUGUUCACAAACCACACUGAAAUGAACAUGGUCUGGUUGUAUCCUGUGAAGCAAACAUUUCUGUGUGCUUCAUUUCUAUGCUUGUUUUUUCUGUCACUGAUUUGUAUUGCUUUAUUUGCACUUUUAUUAUUGAUACUGUUAUUUUGUUUAAAAGAAAUAAAGUGAUGAAGUAUUGAAUUUCUUA